UACGUAGGGUGCAAGCGUUGUCCGGAAUUAUUGGGCGUAAAGAGCUCGUAGGCGGCUUGUCGCGUCGGCUGUGAAAACCUGGGGCUCAACCCCGGGCCUGCAGCCGAUACGGGCAAGCUAGAAUUCGGUAGGGGAGACUGGAAUUCCUGGUGUAGCGGUGAAAUGCGCAGAUAUCAGGAGGAACACCAAUAGCGAAGGCAGCUCGCUGGGACGUUACUGACGCUGAGACGCGAAAGCGUGGGGAGCAAACAGG
rnacentral:rRNA from 1 species